AGAGUUUGAUCAUGGCUCAGAACGAACGCUGGCGGCAGGCCUAACACAUGCAAGUCGAGCGCCCUGCUUGCAGGGAGCGGCGGACGGGUGAGUAACGCGUGGGAACGUGCCCUUCAGUUCAGAAUAGCCACUGGAAACGGUGAGUAAUACUGAAUACGCCCCUAGGGGGAAAGAUUUAUCGCUGAAGGAUCGGCCCGCGUUGGAUUAGCUUGUUGGUGGGGUAAUGGCCUACCAAGGCGACGAUCUAUAGCUGGUUUGAGAGGAUGAUCAGCCACACUGGGACUGAGACACGGCCCAGACUCCUACGGGAGGCAGCAGUGGGGAAUAUUGGACAAUGGGGGCAACCCUGAUCCAGCCAUGCCGCGUGAGUGAAGAAGGCCUUAGGGUUGUAAAGCUCUUUCAGGUGUGAGGAUGAUGACA
rnacentral:rRNA from 1 species